ensembl:antisense Ube4bos1 ubiquitination factor E4B, opposite strand 1
AAGUACAUUACCACAUACCCCAGGGCCCACUCUGAAACCCACCUGUAUAGAACUUCAUGAGGGACGGCACCAGCAGUUUGGUAGAGAGAGGAUGGUUCUCAAUCAUCUCAAAGAACUUCUGAGUUCUCGGCUGGACAGAAGGGUUGGUCAUAAACAUGACCUCCACCAGCUUGGCCACUAGCAUCAACAGUUCUGUGCUACUCUCAAGCAAAAUAUCUGUCUGCAACAUCUCAGAGGGCCGCCUGCCAGAGGAGACACACAGAGCCACAUCUCAGAGGGCCACCUGCCAGAGGAGACGCACAGAGGCCACAUCUCAGAGGGCCGCCUGCCAGAGGAGACACACAGAGCCACAUCGUGCAAGUGGAUGUUGAGCUUCUUACAGACCCCUUAGUCACAACAAUGGAAUAUAAGGGAGGCUACAGAUCUGAAAGAAGAGCUCUGGUCAUUCUGCAUCCUGAUGUUCGGAGCGAUGAGGAUGAGAGGGCCAGGCCCACGUCACUCACAGAGCUCUGUCAGCCGCUCAUUCACAUCCUCCAUCGUUGCAUUUAUCCGUGUCUCAUCAUUCGGGAGAGUGAUCCGACAUCUUGGGUGGAAUAUGUAUAUGCCUCCUGAGUGCUCGGCAGCACCUGUGAAGGCAGAAGAGGGAAAUCCUCUGGAGCCGGAGUUCCAGGCUGUCCUGCAAACCACACUCGAGCCAUGCGGAAGAGCAUCAGACACUCCUGACUGCUAAGCUGUCUUCCCAGCCCCAAUCCUAUGUUGCGUCUCCAUUUAUUAUUACUGUGUGUGUGUGUCCGGGGAAAGGGGGAGUAGAGUAUGUAUGUGGGAUCUCUCUCUCAUCUUGACGUGGGUUCCAGUUGUCAGGCCUGAACAGCAAGCAUCUAGUAACUCAAGAGCAAGCUAUCUCAUGAUGCUUGAUGUUCAAAUCCCAAGUAUGGCUUGCUUGUUGUUCUGUAAACCAGCAAGAUGCCUCUGACAGUCAUCCUUUGUGCUGGCUCCCCAGAAUAGCAAGGCACAUUCCCACAGUGCCUCACUCGCUGCUGUCUAGGACUGGCAGUGGCGGGGCAUGGAAAGCUGCCAAUACACUAGGGUGGCUCAGGACACAGUCACACAAGUGUCUGGCCUACAGCAGGGUCUCAGGUUUUACAUCUGAAGGUGAGAGUGAUCUACACUUGUAAUCUCAGCACUCGAGAGGAGGGCGCAGGGCCAUGAGCUAACGCAGACAUGAGACUGUGUCUCAAGAAAGG